UGAAAGCCCUGGGCUCAACCUAGGAAUCGCAUUUGAAACUGACAAGCUAGAGUACUGUAGAGGGGGGUAGAAUUUCAGGUGUAGCGGUGAAAUGCGUAGAGAUCUGAAGGAAUACCGGUGGCGAAGGCGGCCCCCUGGACAGAUACUGACACUCAGAUGCNAAAGCGUGGGGAGCAAACAGGAUUAGAUACCCUGGUAGUCCACGCCGUANACGAUGUCUACUUGGAGGUUGUGCCCUAGAGGCGUGGCUUUCGGAGCUNACGCGUUAAGUAGACCGCCUGGGGAGUACGGUCGCAAGAUUAAAACUCAAAUGAAUUGACGGGGGCCCGCACAAGCGGUGGAGCAUGUGGUUUAAUUCGAUGCAACGCGAAGAACCUUACCUACUCUUGACAUCCNGAGAAUCCUGCGGAGACGCGGGAGUGCCUUCNGGAGCUCUGANACAGGUGCUGCAUGGCUGUCGUCAGCCCGUGUUGUGAAAUGUUGGGGUUAAGUCCCGCAACNAGCGCNANCCUNAUNCCUUGUUUGCCAGCACGUAANGGUGGNAACUCCNGGGAGACUGCCGGGUGA
rnacentral:rRNA from 1 species